CCCGGCGGCACAGGAUGGGUCUGCGGCGUAUCAGGUUGUAGGGGGUGUAACGGACCUCCUAGCCUUCAACGCGUACGGGUUGUGAGAGCAAUUGCCCGGAGAUGGAUUCUGAGACACGAAUCCAGGCCCCACGGGGCGCAGCAGGCGCGAAAACUUGACAAUGCGAGAAAUCGUGAUCAGGGAACUCCACUUGUCUGGAUCAAAAGUCCAGUCUGAACCGACUGUAAAAAGGUCGGGUAAUAGGGGCGGGAAAGACCGGUGCCAGCCGCCGCGGUAAUACCGGCGCCCCAAGUGGUCGUCACUAUUAUUGGGCCUAAAACGUCCGUAGCCGGCUUGGUAAAUCCGUGGGUAAAUCAGACAGCCUAACUGUCUGAAUUCUGCGGGGACUGCCAGACUUGAGACCGGGAGAGGUACGGGGUACCUGCGGGGUAGCGGUAAAAUGCGAUCAUCCCGUAGGGACCACCUGUUGCGAAGGCGCCGUACUAGAACGGAUCUGACGGUCAGGGACGAAGCCUAGGGGCACGAACCGGAUUAGAUACCCGGGUAGUCCUAGGUGUAAACGCUGUGGACUUGGUGUCGGGGACUUUCAGAGAGUUUCCGGUGCCGUAGUGAAGAUGUUAAGUCCACUGCCUGGGGAGUACGGUCGCAAGGCUGAAACUUAAAGGAAUUGGCGGGGGAGCACCGCAACGAGAGGAGCGUGCGGUUUAAUUGGAUUCAACGCCGGAAAACUCACCAGAGCCGACUGUUAAAUGAAGACCAGCGUGAUGAGCUUGUCGGA
rnacentral:rRNA from 1 species